rnacentral:lncRNA from 1 species
GGCACCACCAUCAUACGCACAUUUUUUAAAAAAAAAACGGAUGAUUCCCCAAGAUCAUCAUCAAUUGCGGUUUUUCUGAUACAAGAUCCAACAGUGUUUUUGGUUUUUGGCAAGGCCAUUGAUCUAUUUUUUCUUCAGUCAUCAAGGGAUUAGCGAAUAUGAUCUUCAAUCUGUGCAAUUGAAGGGGGCUCUUCUCACAAGCACACAGACG